rnacentral:rRNA from 1 species
UACGGAGGGCGCAAGCGUUGUUCGGAAUCACUGGGCGUAAAGCGCGUGCAGGCGGCUUGGUAAGUCGGGUGUGAAAUCCCGGAGCUCAACUCCGGAACUGCACCCGAUACUGCCUCGCUAGAGUCCCGGAGAGGAUGGCGGAAUUUCCGGUGUAGAGGUGAAAUUCGUAGAUAUCGGCAGGAACUCCAGCGGCGAAGGCGGCCAUCUGGACGGUGACUGACGCUCAGACGCGAAAGCGUGGGGAGCAAACAGG